GGUUAACGCCCAGAAGAGCCUCAGUGAUUAGGCCCAAGCGACUGUUUAUCAAAAACACAGUUCUCUGCUAAACCGUAAGGUGAUGUAUAGGGGCUGACGCCUGCCCGGUGCUGGAAGGUUAAUAGGAGUGGUUAGCUUCUGCGAAGCUACGAAUCGAAGCCCCAGUAAACUGCGGCCGUAACUAUAACGGUCCUAAGGUAGCGAAAUUCCUUGUCUGGUCAGUUCAGACCCGCACGAAAGGCGUAACGAUUUGGGCACUGACUCAACGAGAGACUCG
rnacentral:rRNA from 1 species